rnacentral:lncRNA from 1 species
ACGCCAGACGCGCGUUUCGUCUACAAAAGACUCAUCAGUGACGCUCGAAUCCAAAAAAGUUUUAAAAAAAAAGAGCCAAAUAAAGUACGAAGUGCAUUGAGAUCCAAAAUUCCUAAAAGUGUUGCCAAAUACAGCUAAUGUAAUCCAUGCAUGAGGUAGAAAAGCCUUAGUAUUUCAAAAAAUUCAAUUUUUUUUGUAAACAGUUAAUUUAUAAAUAUAACAAUAUCAAUGAUAAUUCAUGUCAGCACAAAAGUGCUGACUACUGGGCUUGUGAUACCC